rnacentral:tRNA from 1 species
UGCAUCGGCCGGGAACCGAACCCAGCCCGCGUGGCAGGCGAGCAUUCUACCACUGAACCACCGAUGG